rnacentral:rRNA from 1 species
AGAGUUUGAUCCUGGCUCAGAUUGAACGCUGGCGGUAUGCUUAACACAUGCAAGUCGAACGGAAACGAUACUAGCUUGCUAGUAGGCGUCGAGUGGCGGACGGGUGAGUAACGCGUAGGAAUCUACCUGAUAGUGGGGGAUAGCCCGAAGAAAUUCGGAUUAAUACCGCAUAAUCUAUUCGUAGUAAAGGAGGCCUCUAUUUAUAUGCUUUCGCUAUCAGAUGAGCCUGCGUAAGAUUAGCUUGUUGGUGAGGUAAAAGCUCACCAAGGCGACGAUCUUUAGCUGGUUUGAGAGAAUGACCAGCCACACUGGGACUGAGACACGGCCCCGACUCCUACGGGAGGCAGCAGUGAGGAAUAUUGCACAAUGGGGGCAACCCUGAUGCAGCAAUGCCGCGUGUGUGAAGAAGGCCUGAGGGUUGUAAAGCACUUUCAAUUGUGAGGAAAAGCAAAAGGCCAAUACCCUUUUGUCUUGACGUUAACUUUAGAAGAAGCACCGGCUAACUCCGUGCCAGCAGCCGCGGUAAUACGGAGGGUGCAAGCGUUAAUCGGAAUUACUGGGCGUAAAGCGCGCGUAGGUGGUUUGAUAAGUCGGAUGUGAAAGCCCUGGGCUCAACCUGGGAACGGCAUUCGAAACUGUCUUACUAGAGUAUGGUAGAGGGAAGUGGAAUUUCAGGUGUAGCGGUGAAAUGCGUAGAUAUCUGAAGGAACAUCAGUGGCGAAGGCGGCUACCUGGACAAAUACUGACGCUUGGGUGCGAAAGCGUGGGUAGCAAACGGGAUUAGAUACCCCGGUAGUCCACGCCGUAAACGAUGUCAACUAGUUGUUGGGAGAAUUUAUCUCUUAGUGGCGCAGCUAACGCGAUAAGUUGACCGCCUGGGGAGUACGGCCGCAAGGUUAAAAGUCAAAUGAAUUGACGGGGGCCCGCACAAGCGGUGGAGCAUGUGGUUUAAUUCGAUGCAACGCGAAGAACCUUACCUACCCUUGACAUACAGAGAACUUUCCAGAGAUGGAUUGGUGCCAUGCUUCGGGAACUCGGUGACAUGUGCUGCAUGGCUGUCGUCAGCUCGUGUCGUGAGAUGUUGGGUUAAGUCCCGUAACGAGCGCAACCCUUAUCCUUAGUCGCCAUCAUUUAGUUGGGCACUCUGAAAGAACUGCCAGUGAUAAGCUGGAGGAAGGUGGGGAUGACGUCAAGUCCUCAUGGCCCUUACGUGUUGGGCUACACACGUGCUACAAUGGUAUCUACAAUGAGAUGCGAAGAGGCAACAUUAAGCAAAUCCUAAAAAGAUACCUCAGUUCGGAUUGCACUCUGCAACUCGAGUGCAUGAAGCUGGAAUUACUAGUAAUCGUGGAUCAGCGUGCCACGGUGAAUACGUUCCCGGGUCUUGUACACACCGCCCGUCACACCAUGGAAGUUGGUUACACCUUAAGGCAAAGCAUAAAACCUUUGACUACGGUACGAUCAGCGACUGGGGUGAAGUCGUAACAAGGUAACC